rnacentral:rRNA from 1 species
GACAGAGGAUGCAAGCGUUAUCCGGAUGAUUGGGCGUAAGCGUCUGUAGGUGGCUUUUAAGUCCGCCGUCAAAUCCCAGGGCUCAACCCUGGACAGGCGGUGGAAACUACCAAGGCUGGAGUACGGUAGGGGCAGGAAGGGAAUUUCCGGUGGAGCGGUGGAAUGCGUAGAGAUCGGAAAGAACACCAACGGCGAAAGCACUCUGCGUGGGCCGGACACUGACACUGAGAGACGAAAGCUAGGGGAGCGAAUGGG